rnacentral:rRNA from 1 species
AUUGAACGCUGGCGGCAGGCCUAACACAUGCAAGUCGAGCGGUAGCACAGAGAGCUUGCUCUCGGGUGACGAGCGGCGGACGGGUGAGUAAUGUCUGGGAAACUGCCUGAUGGAGGGGGAUAACUACUGGAAACGGUAGCUAAUACCGCAUAACGUCGCAAGACCAAAGUGGGGGACCUUCGGGCCUCAUGCCAUCAGAUGUGCCCAGAUGGGAUUAGCUAGUAGGUGGGGUAACGGCUCACCUAGGCGACGAUCCCUAGCUGGUCUGAGAGGAUGACCAGCCACACUGGAACUGAGACACGGUCCAGACUCCUACGGGAGGCAGCAGUGGGGAAUAUUGCACAAUGGGCGCAAGCCUGAUGCAGCCAUGCCGCGUGUGUGAAGAAGGCCUUCGGGUUGUAAAGCACUUUCAGCGGGGAGGAAGGCGAUAAGGUUAAUAACCUUGUCGAUUGACGUUACCCGCAGAAGAAGCACCGGCUAACUCCGUGCCAGCAGCCGCGGUAAUACGGAGGGUGCAAGCGUUAAUCGGAAUUACUGGGCGUAAAGCGCACGCAGGCGGUCUGUCAAGUCGGAUGUGAAAUCCCCGGGCUCAACCUGGGAACUGCAUUCGAAACUGGCAGGCUAGAGUCUUGUAGAGGGGGGUAGAAUUCCAGGUGUAGCGGUGAAAUGCGUAGAGAUCUGGAGGAAUACCGGUGGCGAAGGCGGCCCCCUGGACAAAGACUGACGCUCAGGUGCGAAAGCGUGGGGAGCAAACAGGAUUAGAUACCCUGGUAGUCCACGCCGUAAACGAUGUCGAUUUGGAGGUUGUGCCCUUGAGGCGUGGCUUCCGGAGCUAACGCGUUAAAUCGACCGCCUGGGGAGUACGGCCGCAAGGUUAAAACUCAAAUGAAUUGACGGGGGCCCGCACAAGCGGUGGAGCAUGUGGUUUAAUUCGAUGCAACGCGAAGAACCUUACCUGGUCUUGACAUCCACAGAACUUAGCAGAGAUGCUUUGGUGCCUUCGGGAACUGUGAGACAGGUGCUGCAUGGCUGUCGUCAGCUCGUGUUGUGAAAUGUUGGGUUAAGUCCCGCAACGAGCGCAACCCUUAUCCUUUGUUGCCAGCGGUUAGGCCGGGAACUCAAAGGAGACUGCCAGUGAUAAACUGGAGGAAGGUGGGGAUGACGUCAAGUCAUCAUGGCCCUUACGACCAGGGCUACACACGUGCUACAAUGGCAUAUACAAAGAGAAGCGACCUCGCGAGAGCAAGCGGACCUCAUAAAGUAUGUCGUAGUCCGGAUUGGAGUCUGCAACUCGACUCCAUGAAGUCGGAAUCGCUAGUAAUCGUAGAUCAGAAUGCUACGGUGAAUACGUUCCCGGGCCUUGUACACACCGCCCGUCACACCAUGGGAGUGGGUUGCAAAAGAAGUAGGUAGCUUAACCUUCGGGAGGGCGCUUACCACUUUGUGAUUCAUGACUGGGGUGAAG